GUGGGGAAUAUUGGACAAUGGGCGAAAGCCUGAUCCAGCCAUGCCGCGUGUGUGAAGAAGGUCUUCGGAUUGUAAAGCACUUUAAGUUGGGAGGAAGGGCAGUAAGUUAAUACCUUGCUGUUUUGACGUUACCGACAGAAUAAGCACCGGCUAACUACGUGCCAGCAGCCGCGGUAAUACGUAGGGUGCAAGCGUUAAUCGGAAUUACUGGGCGUAAAGCGUGCGCAGGCGGUUUUGUAAGACAGGCGUGAAAUCCCCGGGCUCAACCUGGGAAUUGCCUCCAAAACUGCAUGACUAGAGUACGGUAGAGGGUAGUGGAAUUUCCUGUGUAGCGGUGAAAUGCGUAGAUAUAGGAAGGAACACCAGUGGCGAAGGCGACUACCUGGACUGAUACUGACACUGAGGUGCGAAAGCGUGGGGAGCAAACAGGAUUAGAAACCCGAGUAGUCC
rnacentral:rRNA from 1 species